rnacentral:lncRNA from 1 species
UAUGAUGAGAGUUUUUAUUGUUCUUACCUACAGUGUUCUUGAUUGAAAUGAUGUUAACCUAGUUUUAAUCAAUGAAAAACAAGAACUUGAAGUCCUAUAAACUGAAGACUUGUCCUGACCCAGAGAAGGCUAAGACACAGGAAAAUAAGAACUGAUACCAUUGCUGCAAGUGGGGCCAGAAGAAGAAGGCUCUAGGAAGAUGGAUUGUGGAAGGG